AAUUCCAGCUCCAAUAGCGUAUAUUAAAGUUGUUGCAGUUAAAAAGCUCGUAGUUGGAUUUCUGGUGUCCCCCAAGGUCCCAACUUGGGUGCUGUUGGGGGCUGCCAUCCGUGGGUGGAACCUGUGUGGCAUUAGGUUGUCGUGCAGGGGAUGCCCACCGUUUACUGUNAAAAAAUCAGCGCGUUCAAAGCAGGCUUAUGCCGUUGAAUGUAUUAGCAUGGAAUAAUAAGAUAGGACCUGGGUACUAUUUUGUUGGUUUGCGCACCGAGGUAAUGAUUAAGAGGGACAGUUGGGGGUCUUCGUAUUCCAUUGUCAGAGGUGAAAUUCUUGGAUUUCUGGAAGACGAACUACUGCGAAAGCAUUGACCAAGGAUGUUUUCAUUAAUCAAGAACGAAAGUAAGGGGAUCGAAGAUGAUUAGAUACCAUCGUAGUCUUA
rnacentral:rRNA from 1 species